UACCAUUAGGUUUCACCUUCAUUCAUUUCAAAACAUUUCAAAAUCCCGCUUCCCUGCACCUCUCUCUUUCUCUCUGGCGAUUCCAGAUCUGGAUCUAGGGUUUUUCUCCAAGGAUUCAAGAUCUAGCCUUUCUCAUUAACACCAUAUUGAUAAACAAAUCUCAAUGCAUUCUCCAUUCAGAUCUCAAUCUCAUCUCGCACCUGCUCUCUCUCUCUUCAACCUUACUGAUCUCCUUAGGGUUUAUGUCACCGAAGCAGAACAGAUGACGGCUAGGGUUUCACGUCUAAUCCCGACGACGGCGGUUAAGGUUGCUUCUCCGGUAGCAACAUAAGGAGGCUGAGGUGAUGAGCUGAAGUGGGUCGGAUGAACGACUGUUAUGGUUCACUAGGGUCAAUAGCCGCACCCUAUACAGAUUCAGACAGUGACAGUUCAGUUCAUCUGAAGUUGAAUCAGAAGCAGGUCACUCGCCUAGAACUAGAGCGGUAUCUUAAGGUAAGCCAACUGAUUAUUUUCCUAAAUCACAAAGAUUCUUUUAUGAUUCCUUUUCCUUUUGUAAAUCCAACGCAAAAACAAAAAUGAGUACAGGGGAGCUCCUCAAUGUCGAACCAUUAGAACCCAAAUUCCCAUAAACAGAUCUCAUGCUCGCUUCAGUUAUCGAAUAAAACAGAGAAUCAUGUAGCCUUUAAGGUGAAGACGACGAAUCUGAAGAAGUAUUGUGUUCGUCCCAACAUCGGGCCUGUUUUGCCUAGAUCAACAUGUGAUGUAACAGGUGUAUUUCCCUUUUGGGUUUAAAUUUGUUAAAAGAAUACAUAAGGGCAAAUCGGGUCACAUGCGUGGGUCCUGGGGUGUCGAGCCAACUUUGGCUUGUGUUACGCAUUUUUAUCCUAUGUUUAUUUGGCUUUAGGCUUACAGGCAUGGAGUUAUGGCAAUUUUGAAGAGUUUGGAAAACU